UUUCUUCAGAUGGUAAGCAUAAAUACAAAAAGUCAUAUAUAAAAAUCUGCAGAAGUAUCACAUUGCAGUUCUAAGCAAUCUAGAAGAAAUUGAAAGUACGUUUGGAAAAGAACUUACUCGUACGGCAGGAACUGCAGUCUUAUUCUGAGACUGAAAUUUAGCCCCUCUGGAAACUGGAGGUGAACUCGCCUCUGCAGGCAUUCCAACCGGUGCAGAUAUCGGUGAAGGUGUAGGUGCACGUGCAGGUGUAGAUGCAGAUGCAGCUACUGCUACUGCUGCCGCAGCGGAUUCUCCGGGAAGUCGGUUAUACCUCAACCUCUUAACUUCCAUGUGUAACCGCUCCAACCGAAAUGACUCACCAUCAAAGAAAAGAACAACAUCAUUUUCCUUGUAAUCCUCACAACUCCCAUCAAAGGCGACUUUGGGUUUACCAGGCUGGUUAUUUUGAAAUUCAACAGAAAUCUUAUUGUCCUUGGUCUUGUGUAGUUUUCCAGGUUGGUUUUUAUCAAUUGAAGCAGGUUUAAAUUCAU
rnacentral:lncRNA from 1 species